rnacentral:lncRNA from 1 species
GGGCUUUUCUUUCAUUGCCGUCUUCCCGUCAGCCUCCACUCCACACGACCACUCCAGGUGCUUCCCGUCUGCCGUGCCUCCCUCCGGCCACCGGCGCCGACCACCAGCUAGCGCCGCCGUCUGAAAUACUCACGACCACUCCAGGUGCUUCUCGGAUUUCAAGUUUUCAGAGUUUUCAACUCUGAAAUACUCUUCCCACCGACCACCAGCUAGCGCCGCCGUCUGCUACGAACCAGCGCCACCGUUUGGAACUAACCGGCGCCGCCGCUGCCCCCUAAGACAGCAGGUUAGUAUUUCCUUCUCACUCUCAAACUUGAUAGAUUAGAUAAUAAUGGUGGAUGGGUGUAUUUGUGAUACAUUCUGAUUUCUGAAAUGGAUUUAUGUAAUUAUGCCCCACCCCUAGCUAGUAAGCUCCGCCCCUGUUUGUGUAAGAACUUGUUGAUGGCAUUGUGUGUUGCUUUUCAAAAAAAUUGAAUCUUUUCAAAUUGUUCCAUUAAAAUCAUGAUGACAGAAUUGCUUUUGAAGUAUCAUGAGGUUUCAGAACAAGAUGUCUUGAUUCGAAAAUCAUUUGUUUUAACUUCAGAUUAAGAUUAAAUCAUAGCUGAAGUUUUAUCUGCUAGAUGCAUAUUUACUCCUUGCCAUAGUCUAAGUGUGGACUGAACAGAUGAAUUGGAGUGCAUGUUGAACUACUACAUUAGGAUUAGUAAAUUUCUACUAUAUAAAUCACAUGAAUUUUGUUUACUUUAAUUGUUGCCUAGGUUGGAAAUUCAUAAUUAUUAGAGUUGUUCUGUUUUUUUUUUUUUUAAAUUACAAUUCUCUAUAAAACAUUUUUUUGUUCCAAAUAAUUAUAGGUUAUGAGUUGGUGUACUGGAUAGGACUCCAUCCUUUCUUCUAAAGGUGAGUUCAAAUCCCACAUCCUACAAAAUUCAAUUUUUUUAAAAUUUCAUAAAAUACAAGUUAACCGGUCCAUUAACCGGUUCGGUUACCGGUUAGGAGAUUGCUCCUUAUCCGGUUCCGGUUAACCGGUAAACCGGUUCAAUUAAAAUCGAACCGUUUAACCGAACCGGACCGAUUACCAGCCCUAAAAAAUACACAUAAUUUGUCACUUUUCUGAUUUAUAAUAUAUUAAUAUGACCUUUUAAUUUGAUCAGAAAAUACACUACUUUUUAAUUUGAUUGUAAUUGUUAUAAAUCAAAAAAUUGGCAAACUAUGUGUAUUUUUUGGCAAUAGCCCCAUCAUUUUUUUUUUCCCGAUUAAAAUAUGUUGACCCUAAAUAUUUCGACACACUAGGUUUCAGGCUAGCCUGUCGAACCUGCAAAUUUACGAUUUUUUUACAUGUAUGAUUUUUUAUUGAUAAUCAUAUAAUUGUAAGAAAAAAUAGGCCUUGUUUUUUUUAGUCAAGACACUUCAACUCGUUUUAGAAUUUGAUAUUUUGGGCUAAUCAGUUUGUUUUAUUUUUCGAAAUAAAAUAUGUUGACUCUAAAUAUUUCGACCCACUAGGUUUCAGGCUAACCCAUCGGACCCGCAAAUUUAUGAUUUCUUUACAUGUAUGACUUUUUUUAGGGUAAAUAUCACUUUCUGUCCCAUCGUUUGUUCGAAUUAUUGAUUAUGUUUCAACUUUUCGAUAAUAUCUAAUUGGUACCCAACCUACCAACAUUUUUUUAAUUGUGUCCCUUAAAAAUUUUCCGACGCUCGGAAAUUGACGUGGAACGCUGGAAAUUUAUUACGUGGAAUUAUUAAUCCACUUGGAAUUGCCAACAUUAUUAUAGUACUUUAUUAUACUUAAAAAAAGAGUAAAAUAAUACAUCCCCUAAACUAAACGUCGUCGUAUCCAAUUCAUCAAAAUCCCAAAUCAAAGAACAUAUCCAGAAUUGCAGAUAACUUAAUAGUAAAUGCUCUUGAACAGUUCAAAUUCGAUUUGAGGCAUAAGCAAAUGGGCGGUUCGAAGAAGAAGAAGAAGCGGAGCGGUGGCAGAGGCCACCGCGCCCAGUCAAAGGACCAUCACUCGACUGACGCCGAUAAUUCUAAAAUUUUAACCAAGGAAGUAACUGCGUUGUGAGUUUUUUCUUAUUUUUGAAUUUUUAACGAACACAUUUUAUAUUAUUGUUGUUUUAAUCAUUCUAGUGAACUACUAUGUGUAGAUAUUUUGUUCAGUGAAUGUACGGUCAAUAGUUUGAGCUCCUGAAUCACCUCCUCGUAUCAACAUCAAGCUCAGGUUCCAGAUUUGUGAUAAUUCAUGGACAUUAAACCUUAGGCUUCAUGUACUUGGUGCAGAUGCUUACCAGGUUAUCCAUAUAAAUGCCCGAAGCUGCAGAUAAUACCAGAGAAAAAGCUUAUAAAAAACUAAUGCUGAUAAUCUUUUAUCUUUACUUUAUGAUCAUGUAGGACCUUAGUGAUAGCCAGAGGAGGAGGACGAUUACUAGAUAUGUUCUUUAAUUUGGGAUUUUGAUGAAUUGGAUACGACAGCGUUUAGUUCAGGGGAUGUAUUAUUUUACUCUCUUUUUUUAAGUAUAAUAAAGUAUAAUAAUACUGACAAUUUCAGGUGGAUUAAUAAGUCCAUGUAAUCAAACUCUUCGGGCGCCGAAAAUGUUUUAAGGGACACAAUUAAAAAAAUGUUGGUAGGUUGGGUACCAAUUAGAUAUUAUCGAAAAAUUGGGAUAUAAUCGAUAAUUCGGCCAAACGAUGGGACAGAAAGUGACAUUUACCCUUUUUUUUUUUAAUUGAUAAUCAUAUUAUUGUAAAAAAAAAGGCCUUGUUUUUUCAAUCAAGACACGACUUGUUUUAAAAUUGAAUAUACAUUUACAUAAUAACAUAAAUGACUAUUUUUCUAUGAUUUUUAUGUCAUAAAUAUUUAUUAUUAAUCAUUGGAGAAAUCCAAAAUAUAUUCCACAACAUCGAAAUCUUAUCGAACUAGAAAGUAAGUAAUAAAAUUUGAAAAUCAAUUAUAAAGAAAAAGUUCGGUUAAUCGGGACAACCCAUUUAAUUUUCGGGCUCGAACUAUUUUAUGUUCGUGUCAUUUGGACUGAAUUUUUUUUAGGCUAAAAUUUUUCAGUUUAAUCCUUUUUUUCCGAUCUUUUUGGGUCAGUUUCAUGUUGUUGUUGUUGUUGUUGUUUUUUUUUUUUUUUUUUUUGUAAUCAAAGUUUCAGGCUUUUAUUGAUAUCUCUAUAACCAUAAUAGUUGAAGCUUAUUAUUUGACGAAGUAAAAGGACGUUACGGACUGAAGUCUACACCCCUUGGAUUUCUCCCUAGGGUCGGAGCCGAGGCAACCAUUAUUUAGUAAGCUCCAUACUCACCUCUUUUCUGGUAAAUCAGUUAGUUGAAGUAUUUUGCCGCUGCUCUCUCUUGCAGUGUUUUGAUGGUGGUUUUACAUCUUCAGAUCGGAAACGACAGUCGCCUCCGGAAAUCGGGUGUGCUAAUAUAGUUGAUAACUGUAAGUAUGAUUAGAGCUUUCAACCACCAUUUUAUGUCUAAUUAUUGGUCUUGAUGUUUUGAGAUAAAUGUGAUUUUUGUGAUUGCUUUGAAACAAUUUUCUUGGUAGAUUGUGAUAAAUGAUUGUUUUACAAAUGAAUUUCUGCCGCUUGUGGGGAUAUUCUUGAAUUAUUGAUCUAAUCAGUUGUUCGAUUAUUUGAAGCUGGAUUGAGCUGCUUCAUUUGCAUUCUUUUUCAGCGUGUGUGUUGUAGGAAGAUAGAUCAAGACUUAGAUUUCGAGUUGAAGGAACUUUAUGAAUGAUACCAUUAAUCAAGAUAGAAAUAGUGCAUAAUUCUAAUUAGCCUAGAACACUUACCAGUUACCAUCUAUUUUUAGGAAACGAUUGAAGUAAACUUGGUCAGGUUAGAAAUCAUUUCUUUUGGGAGAUAGUCAGUGUAUCUAUCUUCUUGCAAUAGUGCGUUUGCAUUAAUUUGUGCACAUUGCCACACAACUAUCUAGCUUCCACAUCACUCAUUGUUAUUGUCGCAAAGCUGGAGUUUUCACUUCGUGAUGCACUCCUCAAGAAACUGGAUCUGCUUUGCAGGAAGAAUCCAGGUUUCUUGGGUUGAGGCAACACGAUAUCCUCACUACUUAACAUCAGAACCACAGACGGCAUCAUUGGCCUCUCGUCUGCUGCAUUCUGGGCACAUAAUAACCCUAUUUGGAUGCACCUCUUUACUUGGGGUUCCACGCACGAAUUUUUGUAGCUUGGAUCGAUCAUCUCCAACUCUCUAUUUUCCUGCCAAAGUAGCCAUGCCUGCGACAAAUAUAUACAUUUUAUUUUGUAUUAAGUGGAUGCAAACAUAACAAGGUUUUCAAAGGGAAACACACUCUUUAUUUUGUGAGUUUGUGUCUUUGGCACUAAAGAGCAACAUAAUAUAUUAGUUCACCUGUUCGAGAAGGUUCUGAUAGCAACAAGGAUGCUUGAAGCCUCUAUUCCUUUUCCCACUCACAAUCUCCAAUAUUACUACUCCGAAGCUAAAUAUGUCCGACUUGAAAGAGAACUUUCCAUCAAAUGCAUACUCCGGAGCCAUGUAGCCGCUGUUAAGAGAUCUUAUGCAUUAUGUUCUAUGAAAAGAUUAUGUAUACAUGACUACUUUUGUGUUUGUGUGUGUGUGUGUGUGACACACUUACUAUGUCCCAACAACUCGUUUUGUUCUUGCUGUAGUCUGAUCGCCUUCAAUCAUUCUAGCUAGUCCAAAAUCUGAGAUCUUCGCAUUUAAAUUCUCAUCUAAUAAGAUAUUGCUUGUUUUUAGGUCCCUGUGGAUGAUUUUUACUCUGGAAUCGUUAUGGAGGUAAACCAUACCCCUUGCAAUCCCCAUGAUGAUAUCGAAGCGCUUUGGCCAAGUCAAUAGUGGCCUUCUUUCUUGAUCUGCAUGUGUUGAAACAUGAAGAGUAUUACUAAG